rnacentral:lncRNA from 10 species
UCAUUAUGCUCCCUCCCUGGCUAAUCACCAUUAGGUGUUCUUCCCUAAGGGAGGAAAAUAAAUCAAAUCUUUGGAAAGACUCUACCCCUGAUAGCAAUUGACUUCCUGAUGCUGCCCCUCCCUUUCAGCACAACACCCAGCAUCCCUUCCUGAUAAGAGACCACCGACCAUGACCAUGAAGUGGGUCUGGCCAGUCUAUGGAGGAUGUGCAAAGAGGAUUUUGUGUCCUCUGCUUCACUUUUUGACAUCAGAGGGCUGAAAACUCUAUCCUCAGAUCAUGCUGGCGCCACCAUUUUUUGAACAUGGGCCCAAGGGAGAGGCAUGAGGCUCAAUUGUGCAUGAGUGUGUUUCUCCUCUCAUAAAUACUCAUGACUCCUCCCAUAGCUUAUUGAAUAUGUAUAUAUAUUUGACCACUGUACUCAGCAUAAAUCCCUUUUUUAUUCUUCCUACCCUUGAAUUGUUUCUGGUUUCUGGCCGGAGGCUACAUUUCCCAGCCUGUCAGAAUGGCCACACUACAGGCUGCAAUUGUUUGUGAGAAAUAAAGCUCUCCUUUCCAAAUUCCUGAACCUCAUCAUUCUUCAGUUGACAUACUAUGGAAAUGGUGUUAGACAAAGAGCAAAUUUGAGUCAUUUUCUUAUUUGAGUUCAAAAUGGGUUGUAAAACAGUGGUGACAACUUGCAACAUCAAUAAUGCAUUUGGUCCAGGAACUGCUAAUGAAUGUACAGUGUGGUGAUGGUUCAAGAAGUUUUGCAAAAGAUAUGAGAGCCUUGAAGAUGAGGAGUGUAGUGGCUGACCAUUGGAAGUUGACAACAACCAAUUGAAAGCAAUCAUCAAUGCUGAUCCUCUCACAACUAUGUGAGAAGUUGCCGAA